rnacentral:rRNA from 1 species
GUUGUAUAGUCAAGUAAUUAAGUGCAUGUGGUGGAUGCCUUGGCAGUCAGAGGCGAUGAAAGACGUAAUAGCCUGCGAUAAGCUCCGGGGAGGCGGCAAAUAUCCUGUGAUCCGGAGAUUUCUGAAUGGGGGAACCCACUUACCAUAAGGUAGGUAUCAUACACUGAAUACAUAGGUGUAUGAGGCAAACGAGGGGAAGUGAAACAUCUCAGUACCCUUAGGAAAAGAAAUCAAUUGAGAUUCCCUCAGUAGCGGCGAGCGAACGGGGAAAAGCCCAUUAAGUCAUAUCAGCUUUAGUGGAAUGCUCUGGGAAGUGCAACCAUAGUAGGUGAUAGUCCUGUACACGAAAGGGCUGAUAUGAUGAUGUCGAGUAGGGCGAGGCACGUGAAACCUUGUCUGAAUAUGGGGGGACCAUCCUCCAAGGCUAAAUACUCCUGACUGACCGAUAGUGAACCAGUACCGUGAGGGAAAGGCGAAAAGAACCCCUGUGAGG